rnacentral:rRNA from 1 species
GAUGAACGCUGGCGGCGUGCCUAAUACAUGCAAGUCGAACGCUUCACUUCGGUGAAGAGUGGCGAACGGGUGAGUAAUACAUAAGUAACCUGGCAUCUACAGGGGGAUAACUGAUGGAAACGUCAGCUAAGACCGCAUAGGUGUAGAGAUCGCAUGAACUCUAUAUGAAAAGUGCUACGGGACUGGUAGAUGAUGGACUUAUGGCGCAUUAGCUUGUUGGUAGGGUAACGGCCUACCAAGGCGACGAUGCGUAGCCGACCUGAGAGGGUGACCGGCCACACUGGGACUGAGACACGGCCCACACUCCUGCGGGAGGCAGCAGUAGGGAAUUUUCGGCAAUGGGGGAAACCCUGACCGAGCAACGCCGCGUGAAGGAAGAAGUAAUUCGUUAUGUAAACUUCUGUCAUAGAGGGAGAACGGUGGAUAUAGGGAAUGAUAUCCAAGUGACGGUACUCUAUAAGAAAGCCACGGCUAACUACGUG